CGUGGGUUAGGCACAGAUCAUGUUGGGAAAAUGCUUCGCUAUAUCUAGGAAAGAGUGGAGGUUAUGUUCCUGAAGAUGGUGUGUGCAGUUGGUUCAUUAUAUUGGAUGAUCGUGGGUGCGUGCAGUUGGUUCAUUAUGCUCCCGAAGCUUGUGCUGGAGGCUGUCUCUAAAUGUGGUGCAUGUGAUGAAUGGCAAAAUCUCAUGGAGAUUACCAAAGCUUGAAGGAUGUCAAGAACUCUUUGGUCCCAGUAGAGUGAAUGGAGUGAAUCAUGUUAGGUUUUCCUUCAAUGAGAUGGCAUUUUGCUAAAAGUACUCUUCAACACCCUGAUGAAUAGCUUUCAUAAGUGGAGAGAAAGCAGAACAAUAUAUAUCUGUACGAAUCGGAAGGUGGAGGAAGCUUCAGUGGACUGAUGGUAAUGUAUGACAUAUUUUCCACCUUCCUCCUAAAUCUGGCUCAUGACCUCUAUUUUGAAACAUGAAAUUUUGCACUCCUUAAUCAAUGACUAUGUAUGUUGACUAACUAUCAGUAUUCUUUUCUAGAUCUACAAAUAUAUAAUCCGGUGAGUUCUAAAGUUUACCAUAUAUUUAUAUUAAAUAAACUGUAGAACUGCUGAUGAAGUGCUUUAAUUAUUACCGUCAGCUUUGUUUCUUGUUUCUGUGUUCUCCUUUAGUUGGGUGCAGAUAUAAAAAGGAGGAGAAAAAGGUAUGUCUCGAGUGCUUUUCCCCCUUUUGUUUUAUGCAAAUAAAUCUACACCACAUUUUAAAUAUUGGCAACUUCGUGGAUGGUUAUAGUUGGAGAAUCAAAUCCCUACUCCCAAGGCUUUAUUGGAAACCACAGUCAUUCAAAAACCACAUUUUUCCCUUGUUUGAAUGACUUGGUGUAUGCUGUUGCUCCAAUUAUGUUAUCUCUAAUCUUCAAUAAGAUAAUGCAUUGUCAGUGUCUAUGUUAAGGCCUCAGGAGCAGGGCACAGGUAACUGCAUCCACUUGAGACAGAGAGAGAGAGCUAGUGCAAAUAUAUCUGGCUUUCUCUUUUCAUCUACCUAAGUAGAUUUCCAGAGAUGAUUAGCUAUAUAUACCUCACAUCACCAUCGUCCUGAUCACGGGAGGUGGAGUGAUGCAAUCGCAGGUAUGCUGAUGGCAGCAAGAUCUCGUCGGAUGCACUGAGCCAAAUCAAAGGAUAGAUCUUUUUUCGUCUUUUAAUUUUGUGUUUUUUUUCCUUUUCGAAAAAAGGAGUUGCUUGAUGGACAUUAAAUCGGAUGGCCAUGGAUGCUGCAAUCAUGUAAGAUCAGAAAUCACGUAAUUAUUUGCUAAUUUUGUAUUUCUGUAUCAGUCGUGUACCCUUUUUUAAGGGGGGUUUGGAAAUUAUAUAUCUGAUACUUUGAGAUAUA